rnacentral:lncRNA from 1 species
GUUGAUGGCUUAUUUUCAUGUCAGAUUACCAGGAUGUCUCGGUUCGGGCAACUGCCUACCAUUUCUCAGCAUUAUAACUACCAAAGACAUUUAUGGUCUAUCAUCUGGGCUAUGUUGAACACAUAAUAAAGCCACAUGGAUUGAUCUCAACAGUUCUAUUGUCUCUUAACUCAAUCAAAGAUUCAUCUCGAAGUUCCAAUGUCUUUCCUUCU